UAAGCCCAAGAAUGGCAUAUCACUUUUCUGAAUGCGUGGAGAACCAUGCCUUUGAAACUUAUGACAAAUUUCUCAAGGCCCGAGGAGAGGAGUUGAAAGGGAUGCCUGCACCAGAGGUUGCUGUUAA